GACCAAGGAGUCUAGCAUGUGCGCGAGUCAUUGGGACUAUAAUAAACCUAAAGGCGCAAUGAAAGUAAAAGUCCGCCUUGCGCGGACCUAGGGAGGAUGGGACCGUUCACGUGACGGACCCCGCACUCCCGGGGCGUCUCAUUCUCAUCGCGAGAAGAGGCGCACCUAGAGCGUACACGCUGGGACCCGAAAGAUGGUGAACUAUGCCUGGUCAGGACGAAGUCAGGGGAAACCCUGAUGGAGGUCCGUAGCGAUUCUGACGUGCAAAUCGAUCGUCGGAACUGGGUAUAGGGGCGAAAGACUAAUCGAAC
rnacentral:rRNA from 1 species